rnacentral:rRNA from 1 species
AUGUGUGUUCCAAAAGAUCAAGGAGGUAUGGUAUUCCGUGAUAUUCACUGUUUCAAUCUUGCUUUGCUAGCUAAACAAGCGUGGCGUCUACCGGAAAAUCCCGACUCUUUAUGUGUAUCUAUAUUGAGAGCUAAAUAUUUCCCUGAUGUGGACCUAAUGAAUUCAAGCAUAAAUAGGGGCUCAUCUUUUACCUGGCAAAGUAUUAUGGCAGGAGUUAAUUCACUGAAAAAUGGGUAUAUCUAAUGAGUGGGAAAUGGACAGAAUAUCGAUAUUUGGAAAGAUGUUUGGAUUUCGCAUUGUGCAAAUAGGAAAAUUAUUUCCCCAAGAGGAAGGAACCUCUUGUCAAAGGUUUCUGAUCUUAUUGACCCAACCACGAAUUUGUGGGAUGAAGAUUUGGUGAGACAAAUGAUGUGGCCGAUCGAUGCUCAACGAGUCUUUGCGAUCCCCCUUCCUUGGCACAACCUGUUGGAUUUUAUUGAGUGGAGUUAUACAAAAAAUGGGUUGCUCACUGUUCGAUCAGCCUAUUUGGCGGAAUGGACCCUACAACAUGGGACAAAAUUGCAUUGUACUAAUUGUAUGGGGUGA